CUCGAUUAAUCAUCAAAACAAUCAAUUUUGUAAAAAAAACGAAAAAGGUUGCAAAUUUGUUUACAUUUAAGCGGAUUGUUCAGCAUUCCCAGUGCAUUGGAGUGGUGAUAAACUGUGGCGAUUAUAAUAGGCAUCAAUAAAUGAAAUAAAUAAGAAGUAACGGUGACAAUGUCAAUUAAAUCCUGUGUCAAAUAAUGUACGGAGAAACUACCGUAAGUUUCCAUAGUUUUUCUGCUACUCCUACACCUCGCGAUGCACUACGACGACAACUUUAGUCUGAGGCUGUUGCGGUGAAAGCCGAUAGCUUAGAUAAUAGCUAUGCAAACCAGCACGGCCCUAUGCCAUUCACGACUUAAACUGGAUUCCAACUUUAUAUCUGAAAUACCACCUUGAAACGGAUUAUCCUGCUCUUGCACAACCAUCGGAAGUUACAAAAAUUUGUUCGUCGUCUGUAGAACGAAGCAAUUUAUGGGAUAAAAAUUCCAACUGUUUGGGAAUUACUGCAAAUGAAAUGGCCUAUGAUUAAUAAAUUGAAUUGCAAGAUGAAAGCUUCAAUUAAGAAACGGUAAAUAUCUUUACGUUGAAACAAUGUUUUUACUCGGAUCAGGAUGUUCAUACUAUGUAAAACGACUCGGUGGGUCGUUUAUGCUCAUACUAUGUAAAACCUAGAUAAAAUGAAUCGCAAAAAUAAAUAAAUG